UCCGUAGGUGAACCUGCGGAAGGAUCAUUGUCGAACCCUGCAAAGCAGAACGACCCGUGAACACGUAAAAACAACCGAGCGUCGAGUGGAUUAAGCUUUUGUUUGAUCCUCUCGAUGCUUUGUCGAUGUGCAUUUUACUUGUCUUCUUCUUUGGACCAGGUGAAUGUGUCAUUGACGCAAUAACAACCCCCGGCACAAUGUGUGCCAAGGAAAACUAAACUUGAGAAGGCUUGUUUCAUGUUGCCCCGUUCGCGGUGUGCUCAUGGAAUGUGGCUUCUUUAUAAUUUAUAAACGACUCUCGGCAACGGAUAUCUCGGCUCACGCAUCGAUGAAGAACGUAGCAAAAUGCGAUACUUGGUGUGAAUUGCAGAAUCCCGUGAACCAUCGAGUUUUUGAACGCAAGUUGCGCCCGAAGCCUUUUGGCUGAGGGCACGUCUGCCUGGGCGUCACGCAUCGCGUCGCCCCCAACAAAGCUUUGUUGCGGGCGGAUAUUGGUCUCCCGUGCUCAUGGUGUGGUUGGCCAAAAUAGGAGUCCCUUUGACGGACGCACGAACUAGUGGUGGUCGUAAAAACCCUCGUUCUUUGUUCUGUGUUAGUCGCAAGGAAAAACUCUUUAAAUACCCUAAUGCGUUGUCUUAGGAUGACGCUUCGACCGCGACCCCAGGUCAGGCGGGACUACCCGCUGAGUUUAAGCAUAUCAAUAAGCGGAGGA
rnacentral:rRNA from 1 species